UGGCUCAGCAGUUAAGAGCACUGGCUGCAGUUCCAGAGGACCUGGGUUCAAUUCCCAG
rnacentral:tRNA from 1 species